rnacentral:rRNA from 1 species
UGACAUUAGACUACCCCGUAGUCCCAGCCGUAAACAAUGUGCGUUAGGUGUGUCGGUAACCACGCGUUACUGAUGCGCCGAAGAAGAAAUCGUGAAACGCACCACCUGGGAAGUACGGUCGCAAGGCUGAAACUUAAAGGAAUUGGCGGGGAGCACCACAACAGGUGGAGCCUGCGGUUUAAUUGGAUUCAACGCCGGACAUCUCACCGGAUAAGACAGCUGAAUGAUUGUCAAUCUGAAGGUUUACAUGACUAGCUG